GUGGGCCCGUUGUGCAAAGAGUGGCAGAGAGGGGCUGGUGGCAUUGUCACAGUGACACGGGGACACACAGCUGUGCCAACCACAUGGCAACGAUGGAUCCCACCCUAGGAGCCAGCAGAAUGUGUCUUUGAGAGAAUGUGGAAGCAGAUCCCCACCCGAAGGCCCAAAAUGACGGCCAAAAAGCAGCCCAGGGAGCAGAUGCCAAGGCUUUGUGUUACCUCCCAGAGCAGCAGAGCCCAGGCAUUGUUGGACUGCGCCGAGGCUUUUAGGCACAGACGGUCUAUAUGCUGAGUUUGCCGAACAAAAGAGAGUUUGCAGUGGUGUCGGUCUGGAUCUGAAUAGGAAUUAAUUCAGACAAAAUAACUGGAAUUGCACUAGUUACGGUCUUAAAUGUUUGCUGCAUCCCUCUUUACUUAUUCUUUUAGAGGAAGGGCACAGGUAUAAAGGCUAUUUGGAGAGAAAAUUACUUCCAUUUUGGUAGGCACAUCCUGUUUCCUUCCACCAGCUCCAUCCAGCCUUGCCUGGGAGCUCCCAUUCCACACCAAAAAGGAGACUGGGCCUGAGCAAUACUUAUUAAUUAUUAUUAUUUAUUAUUAUUUGUAUUAUUAUUUAUGGGUUGUCAGAUUUGGGAUGAGAUCAGCAUUUUUCUGAGGUGGAUCUCACAGACCAAAACCCUGUGUUGGAUCGUGCUAGGCAGACUCCAAGUGACCAAAAGUGACAGAUAUUUUUUUGGAAACUGUCUAUUUUUACCAGAACUUUGGAAAAUAUGGUUCUUUCAGACACUUUUGCUUGAACUGUGAAUAUUUUUGCACGUCCCUGUUGGGUGUCACGUCUCUGUGUUUCUGGGGUGCCACGGGAAGUCUGCUGAGAGCUUUCAGUGCCUGCCCUCGUGAGCAGCAUUGGCUCAGCCUUUAACAACCUGAUCAAAACACGCCGUGCCGAGGCUUUUCUUCAGCUGUUGGUUUGGAUUUCAUGCUUUGGGUGAGGAGAGAACGGGAUUCUGCUCUGACUGCGAAAGAAUCAGAAUUCAGACUUUUAUCUCCCAGAGCAUUUCCCUUGAGCAGACAAAACAACUGGGAGCUCUUUAUAAAUUUACCCUGCCCCUUGAUAUCUGCCAGCUCUCUGGGAAGGCGAGCACUUCAACUCACACCAA